rnacentral:lncRNA from 1 species
CUCCACCCUUCACUCGCCUCAUUGUGCCCAGGCAGCACCAAGGUCAGAAAUUAAUUGGAGACACUGCAAAACACACAGCCUGUAAUAUUUCAGUUCAGUGAGGUCACAAGAAAAACUCAGUUAAAGCCUUAUUAGAGCAGUUUACAGGAGCACAUUACUGCGAAUAUGAAAUGAGAGUCUUGUCUUGAUGGAUGCGUCACCUACCCAAGAUAUUUGUUGAGAAUAAUUUGAAAAUCACCCCCGUACAUGGUUGUAUAUUCUUCGUUGUGGGUCCUUCUAGUUGUGGCAUGUGGGACGCUGCCUCAGCGUGGUUUGACGAGCAGUGCCAUGUCCGCGCCCAGGAUUCGAACCAACGAAACACUGGGCCGCCUGCAGCGGAGCGCGCGAACUUAACCACUCGGCCACGGGGCCAGCCCCUGCAAUUAAUAUUUUUAUCCGGCCCAAGAAUCCUCUACCUACGGCUGGCAGAUGAAGAAAAGAAAUCGGAGGAGGCACACUGUCUACAGGAAUGCGAUGACCCCUGGGCAGAGAGCCUGUGCUGAUAGUGAUCAUCAAUGACGACUGAAAGAUCACGGUAUAGGGCAGCUGCUGCAUUCUCUGACGCAUAUCCAGUAAAACAAAGGACUAUGAGGAACUGGGACUGGAUGUCUGCCCCACCCAGAGACCAGCCACCUCCCCCACCUGGAGACCAGCCCCGUAUAUAACUGGCCUUGUAGUCUUUGUUCUGGGAGAUGUUUCUUUUAACAUGAGUCGGCCAUCUUCCCUCUUGCUAGCAAGCUGUAAUAAAGUCC